GACUAGAAGAUAGAAAAAUGGCCCACUGAAGUAGGUAACAUUGACAAAGAGAAAAGGAACCAAAAACAGUUUGAUAUAGGACAGAACUUAUGAUGCUGCUGUUUGGAAACCAGUCCAAAUGGAGUCUGCAGCUUCGAAGCUAUAAAGUGAGUUGCAUGAGGAAAAAAACUCCGUACCAGCCAGGUGGCAUCCAUAAUACUCUACAGCAACC
rnacentral:lncRNA from 1 species